AAGUCGUAACAAGGUUUCCGUAGGUGAACCUGCGGAAGGAUCAUUAUUGAAUAAACUUGACGUGGUUGAGCUGACUCUCUCGGGAGUAUGUGCUCGCUCGUCAUCUUUGUCUUUCCACCUGUGCACUUUUUGUAGAUUUGGAUGUAACUGUCCGAGGCAACUCGGUUGGGAGGAAUGCUAUCUCUGAUGGCUUUCCUUGUAUGUCCAAGUCUAUGUUUUCAUAUACUCCAAGUAUGUAACAGAAUGUAUCAUUGGGCCUUGUGCCUAUAAACUAUAUACAACUUUCAGCAACGGAUCUCUUGGCUCUC
rnacentral:misc_RNA from 1 species